ACGAUGUCGUUUUUCGUCCUCUGCGGCGACGACAUGAUCGCAAUUUAGGCUUUAGCCUUCGCCGACUAGAUUCCUAUCGCCAUUUUCUUCUCAAUUUCUUCCGUUUUCUCGGCAUCCAGACACCGGGAGGCCGAAGCAAACCUCAGAUUUUCCGAUAUAUGGAUGCGAUCGGCUUUUGCGACGAACUCUUGCCUGCCGAUUCCGUCUCGACACGAUGACGAGAGAGUCUGGUGAACAGAGAAUUCCUAUGCAUAUGGACCCCACGUAUGAGGAUCGCAUCCGCAAUUGAUUUCGAAUUUCGUACGGACAACCGGGAUAUAGAUUCCUAUCAGAGGGGCGUCAAUGCUUCUUUGGCCAUUUACACAAGUGCACUUUCUCACGCGUGGACACGAAAGCCCUAAACCGAAUACGAAAGAAGGCUUGUGCGCGUGGGCUUGGGGUUUGACCUGCAGGCGUCUAAGCCCAACUACGGCCCGAGCGUUAGGCGCGCCUGGUGGCCAGGUCCGGCGGACUGAGGUCCAUGGGGACUGUUAGGCGCGGGUGGUGGCCAGUUCAUCUCCGUUUGUAAGGGUAAGUAGUCACGGGGUUCCCCAAUAUAUCAAAAAAAAAAUAAUAAUAAUAAUAAAUUAUUUAAUUUUAGUCGAGAGUCCAUUAUGGUUUUAGUAUUUGAUCACAUACUGUGGUUGAUUUUUUCAUUUUAACCCCCUGUUUGUGUGAAAAUCUUGUCGUCUUCUGGAUGCAUGCAAUGAACCGAAGAGGGUUUUGACU